rnacentral:pre_miRNA from 1 species
AAUCGAAGGGAACAGUGGCAGUGAUGUAUUCCAUAUGAUGAAAUAUUUAUAUCACAGUGGCUGUUCUUUUUGGGU